AUUGAACGCUGGCGGCAUGCCUUACACAUGCAAGUCGAACGGCAGCACGGGAGCAAUCCUGGUGGCGAGUGGCGAACGGGUGAGUAAAGUAUCGGAACGUGCCCAGUCGUGGGGGAUAACGUAGCGAAAGUUACACUAAUACCGCAUACGAUCUAUGGAUGAAAGCGGGGGAUCGCAAGACCUCGCGCGAUUGGAGCGGCCGAUAUCAGAUUAGGUAGUUGGUGGGGUAAAGGCUCACCAAGCCGACGAUCUGUAGCUGGUCUGAGAGGACGACCAGCCACACGUGAACUGAGACACGGCCCACACUCCGCCGGGAGGCAGGAGGGGUUAAUUUUGGACAAGGGGCGAAAGCCUGAUCCAGCCAUGCGGCGUGCGGAAGGAGGUCCUUGGGUUUUUAAACGCCUUUUGUACGGAACAAAAAGUUUUGACUUAAUACGUUGGACUCAUGACGUUACCGUAAGAAUAAGCACCGGCUAACUACGUGCCAGCCGCCGCCGUAA
rnacentral:rRNA from 1 species